AAUGCGAUAAGUAAUGUGAAUUGCAGAAUUCAGUGAAUCAUCGAAUCUUUGAACGCACCUUGCGCUCCUUGGUAUUCCUUGGAGCAUGCCUGUUUGAGUAUCAUGAAAUCUUCAAAGUAAAUCUUUUGUUAACUCAAUUGGUUUCUACUUUGGUAUUGGAGGUCUUUGCAGCUUCACACCUGCUCCUCUUUGUUCAUUAGCUGGAUCUCAGUGUUAUGCUUGGUUCCACUCGGCGUGAUAAGUUAUCUAUCGCUGAGGACACUGUAAAAGGUGGCCAAGGUAAAUGCAGAUGAACCGCUUCUAAUAGUCCAUUGACUUGGACAAUACUUUUAUGAUCUGAUCUCAAAUCAGGUAGGACUACCCACUGAACUUAAGC
rnacentral:misc_RNA from 1 species